rnacentral:rRNA from 1 species
UACGAAGGGGGCUAGCGUUGCUCGGAAUCACUGGGCGUAAAGGGUGCGUAGGCGGGUCUUUAAGUCAGGGGUGAAAUCCUGGAGCUCAACUCCAGAACUGCCUUUGAUACUGUCAAUCUCGAGUCCGGGAGAGGUGAGUGGAAUUCCUAGUGUAGAGGUGAAAUUCGUAGAUAUUAGGAAGAACACCAGUGGCGAAGGCGGCUCACUGGCCCGGUACUGACGCUCAUGUGCGAAAGCGUGGGGAGCAAACAGG